GCCGCUGUAGCUCAGUGGUAGAGCAAUCGCCUCGUAAGCGAUAGGUCACGAGUUCGAGUCUCGUCAGCGGCUCCA
rnacentral:tRNA from 1 species